rnacentral:rRNA from 1 species
UACAGAGGGGGCAAGCGUUGUUCGGAAUUACUGGGCGUAAAGUGUGCGCAGGUGGCCGCGCAAGUCGAGUGUGAAAUCCCCGAGCUUAACUUGGGAAUUGCGCUCGAAACUACGUGGCUCGAGUGUGGCAGAGGAAGGUGGAAUUCCACGUGUAGCGGUGAAAUGCGUAGAGAUGUGGAGGAACACCGAUGGCGAAGGCAGCCUUCUGGGCCAACACUGACGCUCAUGCACGAAGCGUGGGAGCAAACAGG